CACGCUGUAACGAUGGGCACUAGGUGUCCGGGGUAUUGACCCCCUGGGUGCCGCAGCUAACGCAUUAAGUGCCCCGCCUGGGGAGUACGGUCGCAAGAUUAAAACUCAAAGGAAUUGACGGGGGCCCGCACAAGCGGUGGAGCAUGUGGUUCAAUUCGACGCAACGCGAAGAACCUUACCUGGGCUAGACAACGGCGGACCGUCCUAGAAAUAGGACUUUCCCUUCGGGGACUGCCGGUUCAGGUGCUUCAUGGCUGUCGUCAGCUCGUGCCGUGAGGUGUUGGGUU
rnacentral:rRNA from 1 species